UCAGUUGGAGGGGGCUCCAACUCCCUCUGAGCUCCCUCCCCUUGUGUCUCCUUUUCUCUAGGCCACGGAGUCCAAUUAGUGAUGCUGGUAAAUGUGUGGGUGUGGGGCCAGCCCCACAGCAUGGACAAUGCACCAGUGGCCACAGCCCUGAAGAAAACUCACCCUCCCUCCACACUGCAUCAGUCAGCAGCAGCCAGCAGCUCCUCAGAUAGGGGUGGUGCCUUGUGACCCCGGGGCUGGGGUGUUAACUGCCUCAACCUCAUGCAGACAACCAGAGCUGCUGUGAGUCGUGAGUACAGCCAUUCUGCCAUGUCCACAAGACUCUUUCACAACCAACCUCUCCAGCCUCUGGCUCUUACAAUUCUUCUGCCCCAUCUUGUGUGAUGGCCCCUGGAUGUCACUUAUAUUUUGUUCAGGGACAGCAGACAUGUUUGAAACAGGGUGUGUUGGUGUAGUCAACAAAUUGUUCUAUUCAGCAUGGAGAAUAGACAUCAUAGACAUCAGAGAAUGCCCAUCAUAAUAUGGCUUGCAUAGAAAACCGAUGAUCGAAUAAUGUUUAGCUGAUACUGUUAGCAUUUUAUUGAGAUCAACUGGGUUGGUGACCUGUCAUUCAAGAGCCUGAGUCCCCAGGGUCAUCCCUGGAGGACUGGAGGGGUGCAUGGUUCCUCCCCUCAGGUCUCCUGUGCUGUCCAUUCCCAUGAUAAGUCACAAACAUGGGGACGCUCAGAGAAGUGUGGUAUAUGAUCCUUGCUCCAAGAGACUGAGGCAGGAGCAUUAGACUUUAAGACAUCCCCAGCCACUUAAUGAGUUGAAGAUCAGUUGAAGAUCAGCCUGGGCUACCAGAGACGGCGGUUUCUCCAAAAAGAAAAACAGAAUCAUGAGCCGAGGAAGCCCACAUGUAGGACAGCUUCAUCAAGAGAAGACUGACCACCCAGAUCAGGGCGUAAACAUGUAUUCAUAAACGCCAGGUAGAAUUCGUCAACGUGGCUUACAAUGGCAUCGACUAGCUGCCAGUGAUGUUUCAUUGCAUGUAAGGAAAAAAGCAAGUUGAAGAACAUUAUUUAUAAUAUGUUCUGAAGUAUACAGAAUUUAACCUGACUGCCAUUAAAUCUGCUUAGAUACAUAUU
rnacentral:lncRNA from 1 species